rnacentral:misc_RNA from 1 species
AAGCUAUUUUGGGAUUUCAAAUUGAUUAUCCAAACACAUGAAAAUUAUAGAUUUUAAGGAGAUUAAUUUUUAAAUUCUUUGAAUACUCUUUCGAGUGAGACAAAAAGUGCCUUAAUCAAUCUAAUCCUACUUUCGUGGAGUUAGAGUUAAUUAAGACCCAUUAAGUUCUUUAAUUAAUCUGUGAAUCCUCUUAAUCCUUAGCCUAUUUCUAGGUCUAAGUUAAUUAAGUCCAAUUUCCUGAUUAUCUAUCACAAGGCCUUCU